AUGGUCAGGAAGAGACAGGGAGACGGCAAAACAGAGGCUUAAGAAGAAAACCAGCUUCUACACAGAAAGUACAAGGCCAGUAAAGACCCAUGGGAGGGAGGAGGACUCUAUUCUAGCCCAUCUGCAGGGAGCUUGAAAGGAGUGCCAGUAAUCCGUGGGGCGUCUGGAGCCAGAGAGCAGGUCCUGACAGCUUCUCUGACAGGAAUUUAUUAGGUGAGACGGGAUCACCGGUGGUGUCCCUGUGCCGAGCAGCGUGAAGGCGCUCGUUGCUGCCCAGGUCUUGUGGAUCUUACCCGAAGCCUUUGCUCCCUAAGAUUCUCUGGCAAGUUGACCUAUCCCAUCUGGAAGUCUUCUGGAGGAACAAGAGGGAUGCGAGACGGACUUGUUGAUUUAAUAUUGAAAAGAGGGCAUUCCGAAAGCUCCCCUCCUCCCUGGAGACCAGCAUCUUGAUGGUAGCUGAGGUUUCCUCUUGCUGGGGCAAAGAGAGAACGCCCACGAUUGCAUCUCAUUGGUGAGAUGAAUAAUACAU